GCAGCCGCCCGUCGCAUCCUCGCUGCUCAGCUUGGGCAGAGACCUGCGCCAGGGGGGAAGCCGCGGUCAAGGCCUCGGGCGAAAGAUGCGACCACACGUGGAGACGGCAGAUGGGAUAUAAGCAGGGCUCGGCCCACGAUUUCCACCUCCGCGUUCUCCUGACCGAUGGUAGUCACUCUUUGCUGAGCUCGGCCUCAAGCAGUACCAAAGCAGACGAAGUGUUCACGUGUUGGUUGACGCCAUGACGCAAGUUCCAACACGCCGCCUCAGAAAUGUCUCAAAGCGCCGACGACGGCUGCGGGGCGCUCGGGCUGACUCGCGCCGCCACGCGCCUGCAGCUGCGCCACGACACGAACCCCGAUCGGAGUGCGCGGUUGUCCGAGCAGCUCGGCGGCGACAGGGCUUGUCGCGGAUCACCGCGGCGGCCGCGGUGUCUACGCUGCGCAGCAGACGCACCCAUGUACAGCUGUAGUGCUUGUAGUACAACAUUUGCAAUGUGCACGACCAAGCUUUGUACCGCACCAACUUGAACGACGGAUAGCAGCCCAAGUCAGAUUUCGCAUUUUGAAGUUCUAUCAGUAGCAGACGUAAGUGCGGUCUGAGCGUACCCCGGUUAUGAUGUCGAAAAGCCACGCGUUGUGGGUCAUGCGUCACUUCCGGCAAGCGAUAACGGCGGCGAGCUUUUUUUUUCCUUUUCAUCUUUUCUAGUUUCGUUAUCGAAACCGGGUGUUUUUGCCAGCCUUUCAUGGCGCUCUCAUUCGUAUCGCAAGCAUCAAAUUUUUAACGGAGGUACCUUUGAAUCUACACUACCUUAAUCUACGCUUCUCACGCGGUCCAAAAUAUCGUUCCAGUUGGCGUUCAAGUAACGUCAGACGUACGUACACUAGAUGCUUGCGAUUGUUGCAGCGACAUUAAGUACAGCUUUGCUAUGAUCUCUACUUACGGUCCUGCAGCUCGCAAAAUUCUGCGCGAAAGAAGUUUGGUUAAGCAGAAGUCCUUUGCAAGAAAUUGCAUUACUCGAAACGCGUCGUCGAUGGAGCCGCCUCGCAAAAUCUGCGAAGCGUGAACUUCGGCCGCAGCCAUUCAAGGAUUCCAAAUAGCCUUUAAAUAUAAUUGUUUCUUCUUGCGUA